ensembl:lncRNA
CUACAUCCCUUCCUCUCUAGCUCUCCCUUUAGCCUGGCCCUGACCACAUGACUUGGCAGAGCUGUGCAGGUCUCCCUGAGUCUCCAGCUGGCACAAUGAAGAAUUUUUACUUUGAGGCUCAAUCAGAUCCCUCUGCCAUGCUGCCUUGCUUUGGAGCCAGCAGACUAUGAGUUGAAACCUCUACAAACUAGUCCAGACUCAUGGCAUGGGAAUGGCGAGUUGAACCUACAGACAUAUGAUGACUACUAGCAACCCCAGAGGCCUCCAUGGAGAAAUGCAUCAGCAGAACAGAGCAGUGGACACAACAGACUGCAGUGGCUGAGGCAGCAUCAACUAGGGUCUAAAGUCAGCUAGGAAGAUCUUAUGUGAACCCUCUUGGAAA